UGAGUAACCUGCCCUUAACUCUGGGAUAAGCCUGGGAAACUGGGUCUAAUACCGGAUAUGACUCCUCAUCGCAUGGUGGGGGGUGGAAAGCUUUAUUGUGGUUUUGGAUGCACUCGCGGCCUAUCAGCUAGUUGGUGGGGGUAAUGGCCCACCAAGGCGACGACGGGUAGCCGGCCUGAGAGGGUGACCGGCCACACUGGGACUGAGACACGGCCCAGACUCCUACGGGAGGCAG
rnacentral:rRNA from 1 species